AAUCACUGUGGCCUGGAGGAUGGGACACCAUGAUUUGCAAGACUCUGGUCACAUGCCCACACCUGUGGCUUCUGAAGCAGAGCACCAGCAGUGACAGUCCCACCAGAACCGCAUGGAAUAGAAAACUGUGCAUUUCCCUAAGGAAAGGGAAUGCCAGAGAAGGGCAGAAGGGAAAUCAGGAAGACAAAACGGUAAAUUACCUACCACAAAUCCAAUUCAUUGGUAUUUUUCCACUUACACUUAACCAAGCAACGAUUUCUCCUGGUCCCAUAAUGGAAAAGAGGGUUUAUCUAGAUUCAUAUAUACAAGACUGAAGAGUGAAGAGAGACCCAGAGAAUGUUCUAAAAUCUGCCAGUUAGCAUAAUCACACAGAGAAAUCUCUGCUUCCAGAGGAGGAGCCAAGUUCAAGUCAGAGUGUCUUCAUGUUGGAGUGGACCUUUCCUCUAUCUGUCAACAGAAUGGAUAAAUUGUGGAAGAGUAAUAUCAGAAUACUACACAUCAGUAAAAAACAACAAACUUCUGCUACAAACAAUCAACAUCGAUGAAUCUUUCAGGCAAAAGGGCAAAGAAAAGUAUUGGUCUUCCAAAACAAAUAGAGGACGGAGCUGCUGCUGUUGCAUGGUGUCUAGAAACUCAGACAACUUCAUCAUUCCAUAUUUGCAUCCAAGAGAGAGAAAGAAAAACUACAAUCAUUUUCCAUUUACCCAUCAACCCAUCAACCUCCAAAUAAAGGCUAUUAAAAAACAAUCAAAGUGUGAAGAGGGCAGAAAAUGUGAUGAAGAGAUUCUUUGGAGAAAGUAGCUGCCACUGUUACCUUGGGAUCUGCCUAUAGUCCUCACAGAGCUUGCCCUUGCAGGAUAGAACAUAGGAGUCUGGGAGUCUGCAAGAAGAGACAGGGUCUCACUAUGUUGCCCCAGUUGGCCUUGAA
rnacentral:lncRNA from 1 species